AGCCACUGCUAUCGGGCUCCGACUAAGCCAUGCGAGUUUAGGGGCUCCUUCGGGAGCACCGGCGGACGGCUCAGUAACACGUGGACAACCUACCCUCGGGUGGGGGAUAACCUCGGGAAACUGAGGCUAAUACCCCAUAGGCCUCGGAUACUGGAAGGUUCCGAGGCUGAAAGCUCCGGCGCCCGAGGAUGGGUCUGCGGCCUAUCAGGUAGUUGGUGGUGUAAAGGACCACCAAGCCUGCGACGGGUACGAGCCCUGAGAGGGGGAGCCCGGAGAUGGACUCUGAGACACGAGUCCAGGCCCUACGGGGCGCAGCAGGCGCGAAACCUUCGCAAAGCGCGAAAGCGCGACGAGGGGAGCCCGAGUGCCCUUCCUUCGGGGAGGGCUUUUCUGGAGCCUAAAAAGCUCCAGGAAUAAGGGCUGGGCAAGACGGGUGCCAGCCGCCGCGGUAAUACCCGCAGCUCAAGUGGUGGCCACUAUUAUUGAGCCUAAAGCGUCCGUAGCCGGACCCGUAAAUCCCUGGGUAAAUCCUGGCGCUCAACGUCAGGAAUUCCGGGGAGACUGCGGGUCUUGGGACCGGGAGAGGCCGGAGGUACUCCCGGGGUAGCGGUGAAAUGCUGUAAUCCUGGGGGGACCACCUGUGGCGAAAGCGUCCGGCUUGAACGGCUCCGACGGUGAGGGACGAAGGCCAGGGGAGCGAACCGGAUUAGAUACCCGGGUAGUCCUGGCUGUAAACGCUGCCCGCUUGGUGUUGCCGGUCUCUCGGGGGCCGGCAGUGCCGGAGCGAAGGUGUUAAGCGGGCCGCUUGGGAAGUACGGCCGCAAGGCUGAAACUUAAAGGAAUUGGCGGGAGAGCACUGCAACGGGAGGAGCGUGCGGUUU
rnacentral:rRNA from 1 species